GUGCUCCCUUGGGCAGCACAUAUACUAAAAUUUGAAUGUUUCAGAGAAAAUUAGUAUGCCUCCUGCACAAGGAUGAAAUGCACAUUCAUGAAGCUUUCCAUAUUUCU
rnacentral:snRNA from 1 species